GCAACCAUCGCUGCGCAUUUCCGUUUCGCCAUCUUUUUAUCUUGGAAGCGUGCAGUUUCGCGUCUUCUCUUCUAUCGUGAAGUUUUACGGAACAUUGACUUGGUUCUCGCACGAGCCGCAAAAUGCCGGGUUUUAGCAGUGUUGGCACAUUUAAGAUCUUCAUUGGUAAUUUAGCUGACAAAACUUCGAACGCUGACAUCAAGCCAUUGUUUGAGAAAUAUGGCAAAGUCGUGGAAUGCGACGUGGUAAAGAAUUAUGGCUUUGUGCAUAUGGAAAAUGAGGAAGCAGGUCGGAACGCUAUACAGAAUUUGAAUGGUCAUAUGGUUCAUGGGCAACCAAUAAAAUGUGAGGCAGCGAAGAGUCGCAAGGGACCUAACACUCCCACGACGAAAAUCUUCGUUGGUAAUCUCACAGACAACACGAAGGCACCGCAAGUGCGCGAGUUGUUUGCCAAGUAUGGUACGGUCGUUGAGUGCGACAUUGUUAGAAACUACGGUUUCGUUCAUCUGGAAGCAACGGGGGACGUGAAUGAUGCUAUCAAGGAGCUGAAUGGACAAAUCGUCGAUGGACAGCCGAUGAAGGUCCAGAUUUCUACCAGUAGGGUGAGGCAGAGGCCAGGGAUGGGAGAUCCGGAACAAUGCUACCGAUGCGGACGAGGCGGUCACUGGUCCAAGGAGUGUCCCAAGGGUGGAAUGGGAGGUGGACCGGAUAGGAACGGAUAUAGAGACCGAAUGUUUGGACGUGAUCCCUAUCCUCCACCACCGCCACCACCUUUCCUUCGGGACCGGCUCAUGGGUGGUGGCCGCUUCGGGGACUACGAAAGCUACUACGACAGGCGAGGCUUCGAGGACACCAGGGAUCUCUACGAGAGGCGGUUUACGGGUAUGACAGGGCCCUGUGACAUGGGAAGUUCCAUGUGCGGGCUAGACUUUCCACCAAUGACAAUGCCACCCCCAAGACGAGACCCAAUGCCUCCUAUGCCUCCUCUAGGUAUGGGAUCCAUGCGCGACACUGGCUUCUCCCGUGGUAACGAGUAUGGAAUGUUCAGCCGCCGAUCCCCCCCUCCUAGUGGCAACAACGGCCGGUUCAGUGCACCUCAGGCGUACCAUCUUUGUCCAUGAACGCGGGCAACCCUAGAGAGACAGUCCCGGGUCAGCGUUCAAGUCGUACAAGAACCGGGAUUACGAGGGCCAUCGCCGGCGCGCCGGUUCGCACCGUACUAAAUCGUCGCGUCGGGCUCGGAUCGGUCUCUGUCGGUCGUCGGUCCGUCGGGUCUGUCUGUCGCUAGCAGGAAGCCUCGGAACCGAGAUACUCUUGGCCGUCUUGCGAACUGCACGCGCGAAGAUCUGCCGCCCGCUCUAUGAGAACAAGUGCUACCCGCAGUGCGAUCUGUUUAGACGAAAAAAAACGGAUACAAAAGUAGAGCAAAACACACAGACGAAAUACAGCCAGCCAAAAGUAGCAGAGACACGCAAAAAAGAAAAAAAAAACAGAACUUCUGAGAAUUAUCACCUGUCGCACGACGAAUCCCUCUUCAUGGACUCCCAUUUAUCGAUCCUAUCGUACCUUACGUUACCCGGUCUCAUUGCAUUCGCCCGCACCCCUCUGUGUCAUAUAUUUGUAUAAAAUCAAAGUUAGAGUAUCCUCGACAUUAAGAAUUCGAUGGGGCUCCACCGCGACGACUCCUCGAUCCUUCGAUCAACAAUUUUUUUCAACAGACAUUUUUUAACGAAAAAUUUUCCCAUCGUCCUUUUGAAGGCUUCGAACCUUGUAACGUCAAUUUGCGUGAUUGAUUUGUCGCAAAUUCCGAAAAUGCGGGAUCGACGAGCGUUUCGAUGGGGCCGGUAUUUUGCGGCGACGCGAAAGCAACCAAUAUUUUCAAAUACGUAUUUUCUGUAACAAUUGUCGUAUCAUCCCUGGCCUUCUCUCCGUUGCGCAACAAUCGAUAGACUCGUGUCGCGCGCGUACGCGUCGCACACCGCCGAGUGUUUCUGGAUGAAUAACAAACGAUGAGUACGGCGUAAUUCAACACUCCGCUUGUUUGUGUGAUAUCGCCGCGCACGAUUGCGUCGCACGUGAACACGAUCUCCGCGCCGCUAGACCAAAUACAUUCAGAUCGAAAAAAAAAUAAGUAGCGCUCGCCGAAUUCCCGUCGAUCUUAUAUCUUAUUUAUAUGUCAUAUGAGUGUAAGACCUUCCAUCGCAAUAGCGCAAUACUUUGAUUAACGAUCUAAAUGUUGCAAACAAAAUGCGGAUAAAUUGUACUAGGGACUAUUUGUACUUCGUCGUCACGCAUCUUGAUCGUAACUCUUUUUCUCUUAUUUUAUUAAUCAAGUAGAUCUAUUAGCGGGAAUCGCGGAUUCUAAAAACUUGUGAAAGGGAGGAACCCUCCGAGCGAGUAACUUGAUACUUUCGAAAAAUCAAGCGGGAGCAGGCCUCGUCCUCCGAGACGGUCAAAUCUAUGUCGCUCCGACAACAAAUAUUCCAUUAUUUUUAACGAAUAAUUUUGUAUAGAGACGCAAAUUAGAUAUCUUAAGUUUUUAACAUACUCGCGAGGGAAUAUCGAAAAGUUGUAAGUCGUGCUUUAAACAAAACAUUUGAGAUUUUCCCCCUCCCCAAAUGGGGCGGUAAGCGUGUAGAUUCGACCAUUUAGAAAAUCUGUUUCCAUAUUUGCUGUUUCAAAACUGAAGUUGAAAAAGAUGAUAAUUAAAAACUUGGACCCGCCGUAGGAUGCGCCGAUUCUGUAUGGAAAAACCUAAGCUGAACAUUAUCGUUAGCAUAUAGUAACGUAAUCAUUUUAUUAACGUAGGAUUAACUCUGACAUAAAGAAAAAGACGGUGUUGUAGUUUGUAAUAAUCGCACUUUCGUUAUUAUUUUUUUUCUU